rnacentral:rRNA from 1 species
AGAGUUUGAUCAUGGCUCAGGACGAACGCUGGCGGCGUGCCUAACACAUGCAAGUCGAACGGAGAAUUAGCAAUAAUUCUUAGUGGCGAACGGGUGAGUAACGCGUGGGCAAUCUGCCCUCUAGAUGGGGACAACAUUCCGAAAGGAGUGCUAAUACCGAAUGUGUUCAGCGAACUGCAUAGUUUGCUGAAGAAAGAUGGCCUCUAUUUAUAAGCUAUCGCUAGAGGAUGAGCCUGCGUCUGAUUAGCUAGUUGGUGAGGUAAUGGCUCACCAAGGCGACGAUCAGUAGCCGGUCUGAGAGGAUGAACGGCCACACUGGGACUGAGACACGGCCCAGACUCCUACGGGAGGCAGCAGUGGGGAAUCUUCCGCAAUGGACGAAAGUCUGACGGAGCAACGCCGCGUGAACGAAGAAGGCCUUCGGGUCGUAAAGUUCUGUUGUUAGGGAAGAAUGUGCUUCUUGUAAAUAAUGAGAAGUAAUGACGGUACCUAAAGAGGAAGCCACGGCUAACUACGUGCCAGCAGCCGCGGUAAUACGUAGGUGGCGAGCGUUGUCCGGAAUUAUUGGGCGUAAAGAGCAUGUAGGUGGGAAUGUAAGUCUGUUGUUAAAAUGCGGGGCUCAACCCCGUAUUGCACUGGAAACUACAUUUCUUGAGUACAGGAGAGGAAAGGGGAAUUCCCAGUGUAGCGGUGAAAUGCGUAGAUAUUGGGAGGAACACCAGUGGCGAAGGCGCCUUUCUGGACUGUGUCUGACACUGAGAUGCGAAAGCUAGGGGAGCGAACGGGAUUAGAUACCCCGGUAGUCCUAGCCGUAAACGAUAGGUACUAGGUGUAGGAGGUAUCGACCCCUUCUGUGCCGGAGUUAACGCAAUAAGUACCCCGCCUGGGGAGUACGGCCGCAAGGUGAAACUCAAAGGAAUUGACGG